rnacentral:rRNA from 1 species
UUUUAAAUGGCCGCAGUAUUUUGACUGUGCAAAGGUAGCAUAAUCAUUAGUUUUUUAAUUAAAAGCUUGUAUGAAAGGCUGGACGAGGUAAAAUCUGUCUCUAUUUAAAUUAUAGUAGAAUUUAACUUUUAAGUUAAAAGGCUUAAAUAUUAUUAAAAGACGAGAAGACCCUAUAGAUCUUUAUAGUUUAUUAAAUUAAAUUAAUUUAGAAAUAUUAAUGUUUUAUUUAACUAAAUUAUUUUAUUGGGGUAAUAAAAAGAUUGAAUUAAUUCUUUUUUACAAUAAACAUUAAUUUAUGAAUAUUAAUGAUCCAGUUUUACUGAUUAUAAGAUUAAGUUACCUUAGGGAUAACAGCGUAAUUUUUUUAGAGAGUUCAUAUCGAUAAAAAAGUUUGCGACCUCGAUGUUGGAUUAAAGAUUAUUUUAGGUGUAGAAGCUUAAUAAUUUUGGUCUGUUCGACCAUUAAAUCUUUACAUGAUCUGAGUUCAGACCGGUGUAAGCCAGGUCGGUUUCUAUCUUUAAUAAAAUAAAAUAUUUUAGUACGAAAGGACCAAAUAUUUGAUAUAUUUAUAUUUAAUUUAUUGAAUAUUA